GAGAACAUGGCAUCAUCUAGAAGCCAGAUGCCAGAGCAGGGAGAGUAUCUUUCUUCUGGAUCAUUGAUCACCUUCCUCCAGCUGCUGAGCUUGGGGAUCAUUGCUAAACCCACAAUCCUAUGUUUCUUGGCCUCUCUAGAGAUUCAUCUGUGUCUUUGUCUCUGAGCACGAGAUACUACAGAUGUAAAGAUCACUGCGGGAUCACUGAUGACUGCAAAAUGUCAUGCAGGAGAUAGUAGUAAAUAUGCUUGGCAUCCCCAAACCAAGAGAAGUCCUAAUCAUGGUGAUAUAAUUGCCAGCCAACUACAGGAUCUCUGUUUGGGGCUUGCUGUGUGAGUGAGAACUAAAACUGCCUGCUCUCAGUUUGGAACUACAAACAAAGGUCUAUAAAACUGUGCAUACCCUUGGACUCAGCAACACCACUGGCCUCUGCUAAGCAUUGUGAAUGCAAAAGAAAAAAAAAAGCAAAAACAGUUCCCGCCCUCAAGAAGCUUACAUUCUAAUGGAAGAGACAACAAGCAAACAAUUAUUGAUAGGGUAGAUCUGAAAGAAUCUCACAAAGAAGGCACCAGAAUUAAGGAGAACCAGGAAAAACUUCUAGCAGAAGGUAUAAUUUUAGGUGAUACUUGAAGGAAGCCAGGAAGCAGAGGUGAAGAUGGAGAGAAUUCCAGUUAUGUGGAACAGCUGAAGAAAAGACAAGGAAUUGGGAGAAUGUCUCUAAAUCGUAGAGUACAUAGAGAAGAGUAUGAUAUAAGAAGACCUAAAAGGAAUUUAUCAUCUAGUUGGCGAGCUAGAACACCCAUCCAGGAAACAAUGGCAGACAUCUUUUGUGAAGCAUUAUGAGAAAAUACAUUCUGAGAGAGUGCAGGAGGGAGAAGUGGAAGCAACCAGGGAAGAAAACAACAUGCAGCAGGAGGCAGAUUUGGAGCCAGGCUUUAAAGAAGGCUCUUUGAAAGAUAGCUACCCCUCUGUGCAGUUCAUUUUGGAGACAGAAGCAUGCAGCAAUGGGUGACUUUAUGAAUCUAAAGAACCUAUUCAGAAGGAUUCUACUUUAAGAACUGUAUCUAUACAUCUCUCAUGCAGAGAAGAUCCUCUCACAUUCACUCUUUAAUUUCAUCUUAUACUGAAUGUAAGGAGAAAAAUCAUUUUUUUUGUCUCUAGCAGUCACAAGCAUCAGUUCUAAUAAAAAGGAACUAAAUCCUC